AAUUUCUUCUUCUUCUUCUUCUUCUGCU
rnacentral:sRNA from 1 species